rnacentral:rRNA from 1 species
UACGAAGGGGGCUAGCGUUGCUCGGAAUGACUGGGCGUAAAGGGCGCGUAGGCGGAUGGCACAGUCAGAUGUGAAAUUCCCGGGCUUAACCUGGGGGCUGCAUUUGAUACGUGUUGUCUUGAGUUCGGAAGAGGGUCGUGGAAUUCCCAGUGUAGAGGUGAAAUUCGUAGAUAUUGGGAAGAACACCGGUGGCGAAGGCGGCGACCUGGUCCGACACUGACGCUGAGGCGCGAAGGCGUGGGGAGCAAACAGG